GGGAUGUGGCUUAGUCGUAGAGCUCUUGCCUACUAUAUAUGAGGCCCUGGGUUCAAUCCCAGUAUCACA
rnacentral:tRNA from 1 species